rnacentral:rRNA from 1 species
GAUGAACGCUAGCGACAGGCCUAACACAUGCAAGUCGAGGGGCAGCACAUGAGUAGCAAUACUUUGGUGACGACCGGCGCACGGGUGAGUAACACGUAUGCAACCUGCCUGUAAGAGGGGAAUAACCCGGAGAAAUUCGGACUAAUACCGCAUAAUACCACGAAUUCGCAUGGAUUUGUGUUUAAACAUUUAUGGCUUACAGAUGGGCAUGCGUAUGAUUAGCUAGUUGGUGAGGUAACGGCUCACCUAGGCAACGAUCAUUAGGGGUUCUGAGAGGAAGGUCCCCCACACUGGUACUGAGACACGGACCAGACUCCUACGGGAGGCAGCAGUGAGGAAUAUUGGUCAAUGGGCGAGAGCCUGAACCAGCCAAGUCGCGUGAAGGAAGAAGGUUCUAUGGAUUGUAAACUUCUUUUGUAAGGGAAUAAAAAGAGUUACGUGUAACUUAUUGUAUGUACUUUACGAAUAAGGAUCGGCUAACUCCGUGCCAGCAGCCGCCGUAAAAC